GUGAAAGAGGAGGAGGAUGUUACAAUAAAAGAAGAGGAGGAUGCAGUUUUAGGAGUGAAAGAGGAGGGGGAGAUGACGUUCACAUUGAAAGAGGAGAAGGAGGAAGAAGAGGAGGUUGGAGCUCUGUUUAACACCAGAGAGGGACCAGACUCUCUCAGCGGGGAGACUCCUUCAGGGGAACCAGACCCAGAGACGCCCAAACCAGCGAGACAACACCUCUGUUCCCAGUGUGGAAAGAGUUUUAAGGGGUUAAGGAACCUGAAAGUACACGAGAGAACGCAUACAGGAGAAAACCCUUAUGAUUGCUCCCAUUGUGGAAAGAGUUUUACCAAGUUAGAGAAGAUAAAAGAGCAUGAGAGGACACACACAAGAAAAAAGUGUUUCCAAUGUUCCCAGUGUGGAAAGAGGUUUACCCAGUUACGGUACCUGAAACAACAUGAAGAAAUACACACAGUAGAUAGGAAUACCUACCACUGCUCUCAGUGUGGAAAGAUAUUUACUGGGUUAGGGAACUUGAAAAUACAUAUGAGAAUACACUCUGGAGUGAAGCCUUACCACUGUUCCCACUGUAAAGAGUUUUAGGUGGUAUGCGAGCAGGAGAGAAAACACAGGAGAAAAGCCUUACCACUGUUCCAAUUGUGAAAAGAGUUUUACCCAUCAAGGGAGCCUGAAAGCGCACGAGAGAAUACACUUGGGGGGAAAAACCUUACCAAUGUUCCCGGUGUGAAAAGAGUUUUACCCGGUUAGGGAGCUUGAAAAGGCAUGAAAGAAUACACACAGGAGAAAAGCUUUUCCAACAUACUAAGGCACAGGAGGAGAAGACAUACAACUGCUCUCAUUGUGAAAAUACAUUUCAGUCAAAGGACCUGAAAUCACACGGGAGAAUAGAGAGGCUGUGUUCUGACUUAUGUUUUUGAUUGUGAAAUUGUGUUUUUGUUCAUGCUACAUUAAAUCAUAUUGUAUGAAUGAAAUCAUACUGAAAAAUAGAUCAUUUCUUUUGUUCAGCUCAAGACAUGAUCAUGUUGAAAAUCACAUUAAAAUAGUUUUAAAAAUA